UUAAUAUGACCACAAUAAUGUAGUUUUAGUCGGUAUUUACAACUUUCAAAACAAGCAACGAGUGAUUUUGCUGUCUGAAAAGUGCCACAAAGGUUUUUUUUCUUUUUCUCAGGUUUUUCCCUGCAGGGAUUCCAGAGCCGUGUCUAAGCGCAUAUUCCCUCACUGCAAGAGGAAAUAGAUAUUGUUCUAGUACCUGGGAGCGUAAGCGCGCACACACCUGGAAUACAACAAAACUCUGAAGCUUUCCGUUGAAGUGAAAUCUGCUUUCGUUCUACCAGCGUUUCCUCCCUUCACGAUGGCCACCCCUCUCCCUCCUCCCCAGCACGGAGGCAUCGACCACAACCUGCCCACCUGUGGAGACACGCAGUGCAGCAGCCACGGUACCUGCGUGCCUUCUAUGGAUGGCGGUCUGGUGUGCGACUGCAACCUGGGCUACCAGGGUGAAACCUGCGACGACACGGUCAACGGGUCCCUGAGUUUACCGCUGACCCUCAGUGUGCUGGCUGUCAUCAUCGGGAUACUGAUCGUGGCUGUCAUCUUGGCUAAGCUCAGGCGGAAGCAAAAAAAGAGGAACAGGAAACAUCUGGAAGAAAAACAUGGCUACGACAUUGUUGCGUGAUGAUACAUCUCCAACAACCCUGAGGUAGACACAAGGCUAAAAUGCUUCACAUUUUGUACGUUACUACCUGGGAACUGAAUUUGAGUGUUGAUAGCAACAUUUGAUUAAAUUAGAUUAAUAUUUUAAUCAUUUAAUCAUCAAAGGAAAACAUUUCACCAAAAUCCAUUCCAAAGUUUGGAAAAAUAACUAAUGUAUAUAACUUUUAUAUUAAGAGUUUUUUUGUAGAGUUUUCUUAACCAACAAAAUGAUAUUUCGCUGUUAUUCAGUAAAAACCAGGGCUGUGCAGAAUGUUUUUUUUUUUACGUCCAUGUUGCUAGCUGUCUUCCUCCCAGCUUGCUGCGUUUCCACUCGUUUUACUGUCACCAAAUGUCGAGGGAAUCGCUCCUCCCCAUAAAAAAAAAACAACCAGAGGGGAGAUGAAGGCUACGAAGAAGAAAUCUAUGAUGUGGGUUUCAACGACGUGGCAAAACCUCCCCCUGAAAGGGUACCUUGGACAUAUUGAUUGUGCGUGUAUGUCAUUAACCGAGUUAAGAGUGACACAAUUUAACUGCAGUAAUCAUGUCUUUCAUACGUGGUCUCACAAUGGGAAAAAAUAUAACUGUUUACUUCUUAGUGUUAAUUAUUAAGCGUUAUUGUGGCCAUCUAUUGAUAACAAACCAGAAUGAAACAUUUGCCCCUCUGCAAGAAAUGAUCUGACUGCUCCAAAUGGAAAUCUAGGGGGCUUCUACAGCGAUGGCGGCAUGUUUUUGUGCUUCACAUUCAUUUCAGUGUCGCAAACAAAGUGUCGAGAGCUCCAGUUUUUUUUUUUUUUCAAUAAUAUUUAUCUAGCAGGGGUAAGCCACAUAUUUAACCAGAUUGUAUUUGUCGUUACCUUUAAGGACUCUUUGCUUGCUUUGCUUUGCUGAGUAAUCAAGAUACUUACAGGACCAUAGCCAGUGUUAGGAGUUUUUUUAUGCUAUACUGUCUGAUAUUUGUGUACACUUCUGACUGAAUUACAAUGUUUUAUGUGCCUUUUCACUCUGCUUCUGUGUUGCUAGAGUAGAAAAAAAUGUAGACCAGUGGGUCCAAUAACUGACUUUCAUGAGAUGUUUUUAAAAACUAGAUUAAAUCGAAUCAUGUUCAAGCUUGGUGAUUUAUGAGAAUGAAUUUGAAAUAUACUUCAUGUCUGCAUGUUCAUAUUUGUAUGUAAAUGGAUUGUAAGUUACCAGUUUGUUUGUCAAAGCACUCGCAUGCCAGAGAAGAAUGACAAAGGAACAAAAAGGCCUAUAUUUCUGAUAACGUCUCAUUGUAUUUUAAAGAAUGACAAAAGUCAUUUUGCUCAACUAGCCUUCAGUAAACUACCAAAACUAUG